rnacentral:rRNA from 1 species
CGUCGUGAAGAGGGAAACAACCCAGACCGCCAGCUAAGGUCCCAAAGUCAUGGUUAAGUGGGAAACGAUGUGGGAAGGCCCAGACAGCCAGGAUGUUGGCUUAGAAGCAGCCAUCAUUUAAAGAAAGCGUAAUAGCUCACUGGUCGAGUCGGCCUGCGCGGAAGAUGUAACGGGGCUAAACCAUGCACCGAAGCUGCGGCAGCGACGCUGAUGCGUUGUUGGGUAGGGGAGCGUUCUGUAAGCCUGUGAAGGUGUGCUGUGAGGCAUGCUGGAGGUAUCAGAAGUGCGAAUGCUGACAUAAGUAACGAUAAAGCGGGUGAAAAGCCCGCUCGCCGGAAGACCAAGGGUUCCUGUCCAACGUUAAUCGGGGCAGGGUGAGUCGACCCCUAAGGCGAGGCCGAAAGGCGUAGUCGAUGGGAAACAGGUUAAUAUUCCUGUACUUGGUGUUACUGCGAAGGGGGGACGGAGAAGGCUAUGUUGGCCGGGCGACGGUUGUCCCGGUUUAAGCGUGUAGGCUGGUUUUCCAGGCAAAUCCGGAAAAUCAAGGCUGAGGCGUGAUGACGAGGCACUACGGUGCUGAAGCAACAAAUGCCCUGCUUCCAGGAAAAGCCUCUAAGCAUCAGGUAACAUCAAAUCGUACCCCAAACCGACACAGGUGGUCAGGUAGAGAAUACCAAGGCGCUUGAGAGAACUCGGGUGAAGGAACUAGGCAAAAUGGUGCCGUAACUUCGGGAGAAGGCACGCUGAUAUGUAGGUGAAGUCCCUCGCGGAUGGAGCUGAAAUCAGUCGAAGAUACCAGCUGGCUGCAACUGUUUAUUAAAAACACAGCACUGUGCAAACACGAAAGUGGACGUAUACGGUGUGACGCCUGCCCGGUGCCGGAAGGUUAAUUGAUGGGGUCAGCGCAAGCGAAGCUCUUGAUCGAAGCCCCGGUAAACGGCGGCCGUAACUAUAACGGUCCUAAGGUAGCGAAAUUCCUUGUCGGGUAAGUUCCGACCUGCACGAAUGGCGUAAUGAUGGCCAGGCUGUCUCCACCCGAGACUCAGUGAAAUUGAACUCGCUGUGAAGAUGCAGUGUACCCGCGGCAAGACGGAAAGACCCCGUGAACCUUUACUAUAGCUUGACACUGAACAUUGAGCCUUGAUGUGUAGGAUAGGUGGGAGGCUUUGAAGUGUGGACGCCAGUCUGCAUGGAGCCGGCCUUGAAAUACCACCCUUUAAUGUUUGAUGUUCUAACGUUGACCCGUGAUCCGGGUUGCGGACAGUGUCUGGUGGGUAGUUUGACUGGGGCGGUCUCCUCCUAAAGAGUAACGGAGGAGCACGAAGGUUGGCUAAUCCUGGUCGGACAUCAGGAGGUUAGUGCAAUGGCAUAAGCCAGCUUGACUGCGAGCGUGACGGCGCGAGCAGGUGCGAAAGCAGGUCAUAGUGAUCCGGUGGUUCUGAAUGGAAGGGCCAUCGCUCAACGGAUAAAAGGUACUCCGGGGAUAACAGGCUGAUACCGCCCAAGAGUUCAUAUCGACGGCGGUGUUUGGCACCUCGAUGUCGGCUCAUCACAUCCUGGGGCUGAAGUAGGUCCCAAGGGUAUGGCUGUUCGCCAUUUAAAGUGGUACGCGAGCUGGGUUUAGAACGUCGUGAGACAGUUCGGUCCCUAUCUGCCGUGGGCGCUGGAGAACUGAGGGGGGCUGCUCCUAGUACGAGAGGACCGGAGUGGACGCAUCACUGGUGUUCGGGUUGUCAUGCCAAUGGCACUGCCCGGUAGCUAAAUGCGGAAGAGAUAAGUGCUGAAAGCAUCUAAGC